rnacentral:rRNA from 1 species
AGCAGUCGCCGCGGUAACACGGAGGGGGCUAGCGUUGUUCGGAAUUACUGGGCGUAAAGCGCACGUAGGCGGCUUUUUAAGUCAGAGGUGAAAGCCCGGGGCUCAACCCCGGAAUUGCCUUUGAGACUGGAUCGCUUGAACACGGGAGAGGUGAGUGGAAUUCCGAGUGUAGAGGUGAAAUUCGUAGAUAUUCGGAAGGAACACCUGUGGCGAAAGCGGCUCACUGGACAUUUACUGACGCUGAUGCACGAAAGCUAGGGGAGCAAACAGGAUUAGAGACCCCAGUAGUCCUGUCUCUUAUAC